AGCCAUACCACCCUGAACGCGCCCGAUCUCGUCUGAUCUCGGAAGCUAAGCAGGGUCGGGCCUGGUUAGUACUUGGAUGGGAGGAACUUAAUUAUGACAAGGGUCUUUUAGAUGGGGGUAUCUGGUCGGCUU
rnacentral:rRNA from 1 species